rnacentral:rRNA from 1 species
UACGUAGGUGGCAAGCGUUGUCCGGAAUUACUGGGUGUAAAGCGCGUGGUAGGCGGCAGACCAAGUCGGCGGUGAAAGCGCCCGGCUCAACUGGGCGAGGUCCGUGGAAACUGGGUCAGCUGGAGGACGGUAGAGGCGAGUGGAAUUCCCGGUGUAGUGGUGAAAUGCGUAGAGAUCGGGAGGAACACCUGUGGCGAAGGCGGCUCGCUGGGCCGGUCCUGACGCUGAGACGCGAAGGCGUGGGGAGCGAACGGG